GCCAUAACGACAGAAUAUGUGUGUGUGUUUAGUAGAAAGACAAUCCUUUUUUCUUCCAGUCAAUUUUUUCUUUGAUCUACAGAACUUGCUUCUUUUCUCUGAAGUUUUCACAAUACAGCAUGAUAGAAGGAGCACAGAGUGCCAGAGGCAGGGAAUUCCUAUGCUUCACUAGUGACUCAUAAGAAAACUUAAUAGAAGGUCUCUACUGCCUGCUGGCCCUGCAGUACCUGAUUGAUGUGGUCCCAAACUAAAGUAGGCUAACCUUCAUUGAACCAAGCACUUCAGAGCCAUGGGAAGAAGUAUGGGGGAAGGAGUCCUUGUACUCUGGCAAUGAGGAAAACAAACAUUAACAGUGCAAGACACAGUGAGAGUCACAGAUCCAUGGAUGGACGAUCCUUUUGAGGACAAUAGAGGGGGAAUUUGGAUAAGUUUCCUGAGUGAGAAACCUUCCAGAUGGCAAUCUGAAAGUUAGCUGUUCCUUCUCAAAACACAGAGCUUUCUCAAGAGAAAGAUAACACCCUCUUUCAUCAGAGCGAGCGAGGUAAGUUUUCAACAGAGUUAUUCCGGAAUUGGAAAACAAAAUGUGUGCAAGGAGUUUGUUGUUGUUGUUGUUUGUUUGUUUGCUUACACAACAUAGUAGAAAUACCUGAUGUUUUGCAGUUGAGGCAAAACAUCCUCUAACACAAGAAUACAAUGUUUACAAGGCAUCCGAGGACCUUUCCAAUCAGGAAUAACAGCACAGAACUCAAAGAGGUCAACACAGACUAGAGUACGAAGCAAACCAGAAGGGGUUAUGAGUCUCAUGCUCUACCAACUGAGCUAGUCAGGUGACCAUAGAAGAGAAACAGGACACAGAAGUGACCCAAUUACUUCCCAGUCCUCAAACUGGAGUUAGGACUCAUCACUAAUAAGGAAAAUUGCUGAUUAUUGUUCAUACUUGAAUAUGGUAUGUAGGUGAUUAUGUAUACAUUUAAGUUAAUCAGUCACUGCAUUCAUUUAACCAUUUUGAAAUUCAGUUGUUUUUAAUACAUUUAUUUGAUUGAAAAGUUAAGAUUAAAACAAAUUAAAAACCCAAAUGUACAUCAGCAAUGGAUCAUUCUUACAAUUCUAUACAAUUGAAUACUAAUAAACAAUAAAAAGAAGAAGCUAUAGUUACACUAAAUAAGGAUCUUCAGUAAAAGAAGUCAAACACAAGUUUAUCUAAUAUUUUAUUUAUAUUAAGUUCCAAACAAAAAAA
ensembl:lncRNA LINC01241 long intergenic non-protein coding RNA 1241